CCACUUAUCUUAUUCCUUCCCUCUCUCGCUGACGGCCGCCCGGCUCCCUCAUCUCCUUAUUUUCUUCUUCUCUUUUCAGAUCUCUGCUUUUUUUCUCUAUGUUUAUGUGCAUAGAAUAGAUGGAUUAAAUGGCCUGUGAUGUUAUAAAAUUGUCCGUACCAUCUGAUAUUCUGAUGUAUUCAUAUUUCAAACCUUUCUGCGGCCUCUCUUCGGCUUUAUAGGGUUUUCUAUAUACAGUGGCAGUGACGACUAAAUUUAUACCAUCAAACUUUGAAAGCUUCAAAUAAAGCUUGUUGAUGCCAACAAUACUGUAAUAUCUGAGCCUUGUUUAUUUUUUGUUGUGGAUCUAUGAUUUGUAAGGCAAUAAAUUAGAGUCUCUGUAACGCUUAUUUCAGUAGCGUUUUCAGCGCUGUACGUUGCCCAAAAUGAUCACGGGAACUGAAAUUCUGGCGUUUUUCUCUAUUUUUUUCUGAGUUAUACGCAUUCAGAUGUUCCCAUAUCUCAUUUUCUAGUUGCUACUUUUCAAAGUUAUUUUGUUGUUUUUGAUUUAAUAAAAGUAAUUUAGGGUUUAGUUCUACAAUUAUACGUUUUCAAGUUGAAGAAAUAGUGGAUCUAGAAAAACAUUUUAUAAUAGAGAUUAAUUUUACAAUAUGGGUUUGGGUGUUUCUGUAAACAGUCGUAUCCAAAUUAUAAGUUUGGUAUUAUGUGAAUGCAAUAAAUUAGAGUCUCUGUGACGCUUAUCUUAGUAGCGUAUUCAGCGCUGUACGUUGCCAAAAUGGAUUUGGAAACUGAGAUUCUGGCAUUUGUCCCUUAUUUUUUUUUAGGCUUAUGCAUUCAGAUGUUGGUAUAUUUCAUUUAAAUUAAAAGAAAUUAGACUAAUUCUGGUAUUUAAGGAAGGCAAUAGAUUAGAGUCUCUGUAACGCUUACUUUGCUAGUGUUAUUAGCGCUGUACAUUGCCAAUAUAGAUUUUGGGGACUGAGAUUCUGGCGUUUCUCUCGUUUGUGAGAUUUAUGCAUUCAGAUAUUCCCACAUUUUGUUUUUGAAUACGAGUUGCUAGUUUUGUUCACUCAAUUUGAUUUAAUGGAUUGUCUAAUUUUGGGCUUCUUGUUAUUUUUUGUUUUUGUUGCCACCUUCUACUAAUGGUGGCAGGAACCAAAUUAAGAAGAACAAGUAAAGUUGUGAUGAAAACCAUGGUAUGAUAUUACGUGUAAUUUUUCAGCUUCUUUCGAGUAUGUGACAAUUAGAAGCACGCCCUCAACUAUCAUCCUCCAGAUCAAAGUGAUUCCCAACUCGUUAUUCAGGCAAUCCUUUUGUUGCUUUAAUUACGAAAGAGGUGUUAUACUGCUCAUAAAUCAAGUUCUUUUGCUCUUCAGACUUGCUGAGGUUACAGGGAAGCUGGUCUAGUAAGCUUUAGUACAUUGUCUAAUUUAUUCAGUUCUUAAAUUUUUAAUUAAUUAUCUGUUUCGAUCUUUGAACAUCUCUGGAUUGUUUAUUUUUUAGUUUUUAUUUUAAAAAAAGAAAAAUGUCCUAACUUUUGGUCGAAACGCCAGCGUAUUUGAGACAAGGUUUACACUGUCAUUGCAGUCGCUCGUAGAUUACACUGCUGAUGCAGUCAAUCCAGUCAAUCAUUAUUAUGUUGGAUGAAGCAUGGAGAGGUCUGCUUGUGACCAUUUGAGCUACGAAAUUUGACUUGCCAUUCUUAUCAAAUUCUUUGGGUUAAGAUUUCAAACUAGAGUUGCCUGCACUGAUUAUACAGUGCAUGUUACAGACGGAUUAUACAGUGAUGGCAUAAAUGCAAUGAUUAACCUUCCAGAAUGUUAACCUUCCAGAGUGUUCAACAACAUUACCUUGGGUUAAAGAGUACAUAUCAUUUUAAACUAUUGUUUGUAGUUGGGAACAGAGCAGAAUUUGGGAACCGAAAUUUCAUCGUUUAAUAAUUUCACAAAUUUUUUAAUA